AACGUAGGUGGCAAGCGUUAUCCGGAUUUACUGGGCGUAAAGCGUGUGCAGGCGGGGGUACAAGUGGUGUAUGAAAUUUCCCAGCUUAACUGGGAAGGUUAUGCCAGACUGUACUUCUGGAGUGCGAGAGAGGGGCGUGGAAGUUCCGGGUGUAGUGGUGAAAUGCGUAGAGAUCCGGAGGAACCCCAGAGGCGAAGGCGGCGCCCUGGCGUCGCACGUCAGCGCUCAGACACGACAGCAUGGGGAGCGAAACGGGAUUGAGAAACCCUAGGU
rnacentral:rRNA from 1 species